CUUGCCCUGAGGUGUGCGUGAACCGUCUUGAAGUUUUAAGCCAACACCAUUAAAAAGGGAUUCCGGCUCUGAAUGUGAAAUGUAAACCUUCCAGCGAAGGAAACAGGCAGCUUUCAGGCGGGCACCCACCUGUUGAGAACAGGUUUAAGAAACUUUAAGGGUUCACGGCACCACGGGGUUAAC
rnacentral:other from 1 species